rnacentral:misc_RNA from 1 species
AGCAGCCGCGGUAAUUCCAGCUCCAAUAGCGUAUAUUAAAGUUGUUGCAGUUAAAAAGCUCGUAGUUGAAUUUCGAGAUCAAAUUGUUGGUCGUGCCUUGGUACGCACUGGCAUUAUUGGUUUCUCCCUUCUGACGAACCAUGAUGUCAUUAAUUUGGUGUCUUGGGGAAUCAGGACUGUUACUUUGAGAAAAUUAGAGUGUUUAAAGCAGGCUCACGCUUGAAUACAUUAGCAUGGAAUAAUGAAAUAGGACGUUUGAUUCUAUUUUGUUGGUUUCUAGGAUCGACGUAAUGAUUAAUAGGGAUAGUUGGGGGCAUUAGUAUUCAAUUGUCAGAGGUGAAAUUCUUGGAUUUAUUGAAGACUAACUACUGCGAAAGCAUUUUGCCAAGGAUGUUUUCAUUAAUCAAGAACGAAAGUUAGGGGAUCGAAGACGAUCAGAUACCGUCGUAGUCUUAACCAUAAACUAUGCCGACUAGGGAUCGGAUGAUGUUAAUUUUAAUGACUCAUUC